rnacentral:rRNA from 1 species
UACCAGCACCCCGAGUGGUCGGGACGAUUAUUGGGCCUAAAGCAUCCGUAGCUUGUUCUGCAAGUCCUCCGUUAAAUCCACCUGCUCAACAGAUGGGCUGCGGGGGAUACUACAGGGCUAGGAGGCGGGAGAGGCAAACGGUACUCAGUGGGUAGGGGUAAAAUCCUCUGAUCCAUUGAAGACCACCAGUGGCGAAGGCGGCUUGCCAGAACGCGCUCGACGGUGAGGGAUGAAAGCUGGGGGAGCAAACCGG